GCGGAGUAGCGUAAUGGUUUAGCGCAGGGGUCUCUAAAACCUCGGGAGUGGGUUCGAAUCCCACCUCCGCUGCCA
rnacentral:tRNA from 1 species